rnacentral:rRNA from 1 species
CCUACGGGGGGCAGCAGUAGGGAAUCUUCCGCAAUGGACGAAAGUCUGACGGAGCAACGCCGCGUGAACGAUGAAGGUUUUCGGAUCGUAAAGUUCUGUUGUUAGGGAAGAACAAACUUCGUUUGAAUAAGGCGGAGUCAUGACGGUACCUAACGAGAAAGCCACGGCUAACUACGUGCCAGCAGCCGCGGUAAUACGUAGGUGGCGAGCGUUAUCCGGAAUUAUUGGGCGUAAAGCGCGCGCAGGUGGUUUCUUAAGUCUGAGGUGAAAGCCUACGGCUUAACCGUAGAAUUGCAUUGGAAACUGGGGGACUUGAGUGCAGAAGAGGAAAGUGGAAUUCCACGUGUAGCGGUGAAAUGCGUAGAGAUGUGGAGGAACACCGGUGGCGAAGGCGACUUUCUGGUCUGCAACUGACACUGAGGCGCGAAAGCGUGGGGAGCAAACAGGAUUAGAUACCCCUGUAGUC